CCUACGGGAGGCAGCAGUGAGGAAUAUUGGUCAAUGGGCGAGAGCCUGAACCAGCCAAGUAGCGUGAAGGAUGACUGCCCUACGGGUUGUAACCUUCUUUUAUAGGGGAAUAAAGUGAGGCACGUGUGCCUUUUUGUAUGUACUUUAUGAAUAAGGAUAGGCUAACUCCGUGCCAGCAGCCGCGGUAAUACGGAGGAUCCGAGCGUUAUCCGGAUUUGUUGGGUUUAAAGGGAGCGUAGAUGGGUUGUUAAGUCAGUUGUGAAAGUUUGCGGCUCAACCGUAAAAUUGCAAUUGAUACUGGCAGUCUUGAGUACAGUAGAGGUAGGCGGAAUUCGUGGUGUAGCGGUGAAAUGCUUAGAUAUCACGAAGAACUCCGAUUGCGAAGGCAGCUUACUGGACUGCCACUGACACUGAUGCGCGAAAGUGUGGGUAUCAAACAGGAUUAGAUACCCGAGUAGUC
rnacentral:rRNA from 1 species